AGAAUCAACGCUGGCGGCGUGCCUAACACAUGCAAGUCGAACGAGAAAGGGGAGCAAUCCCUGAGUACAGUGGCGACCGGGUGAGUAACACGUGACUAACCUACCCUCGAGUGUGGAAUAACAUCGGGAAACCGAUGCUAAUACCGCAUAACAUCGCAAGAUCAAAAGGAGUAAUCCGCUUGAGGAGGGGGUCGCGGCUGAUUAGCUAGUUGGCGGGGUAAUGGCCCACCAAGGCGAAGAUCGGUAUCCGGCCUGAGAGGGCGCACGGACACACUGGAACUGAAACACGGUCCAGACUCCUACGGGAGGCAGCAGUGGGAAUUUUGCGCAAUGGGGGAAACCCUGACGCAGCAACGCCGCGUGGAGGAUGAAGCCCCUUGGGGCGUAAACUCCUUUCGACCAAGACGAUAAUGACGGUACUGGUGGAAGAAGCACCGGCUAACUCUGCGCCAGCAGCCGC
rnacentral:rRNA from 1 species